UGUAGGCUGCAACUCGCCUACAUGAAGUCGGAAUUGCUAGUAAUCGCGGAUCAGCAUGCCGCGGUGAAUACGUUCCCGGGCCUUGUANACACCGCCCGUCACACCAUGGAGUCGGUAACACCCGAAGCCUGUAGUCUAACCGCAAGGAGGACGCAGUCGAAGGUGGGAUUGAUGACUGGGGUGAAGUCGUAACAAGGUACC
rnacentral:rRNA from 1 species